GCUGGGUGUGGUGGCGUGUGCCUGUAAUCCCAGCUACUUGGGAGGCUGAGGCAGGAGAAUUGCUUGAACCUGGGAGGCGGAGGUUGCAGUGAGACUGUGCCACUGCACUCCAGCCUGGGUGACAGAGCGAGACUCUGUCUCAA
rnacentral:SRP_RNA from 1 species